rnacentral:rRNA from 1 species
GGGUAGUUUGACUGGGGCGGUCUCCUCCCAAAGAGUAACGGAGGAGCACGAAGGUUAGCUAAUCACGGUCGGACAUCGUGAGGUUAGUGCAAAGGCAUAAGCUAGCUUGACUGCGAGAGUGACGGCUCGAGCAGGUACGAAAGUAGGUCUUAGUGAUCCGGUGGUUCUGAAUGGAAGGGCCAUCGCUCAACGGAUAAAAGGUACUCCGGGGAUAACAGGCUGAUACCGCCCAAGAGUUCAUAUCGACGGCGGUGUUUGGCACCUCGAUGUCGGCUCAUCACAUCCUGGGGCUGAAGUAGGUCCCAAGGGUAUGGCUGUUCGCCAUUUAAAGUGGUACGCGAGCUGGGUUUAGAACGUCGUGAGACAGUUCGGUCCCUAUCUGCCGUGGGCGUUGGAAGAUUGAGAGGGGUUGCUCCUAGUACGAGAGGACCGGAGUGAACGCACCACUGGUGUUCGGGUUGUCAUGCCAAUGGCAUUGCCCGGUAGCUAAGUGCGGAAAAGAUAAGCGCUGAAAGCAUCUAAGCGCGAAACUUGCCUCAAGAUGAGUCUUCCCUUGGACUUUGAGUCCACUGAAGGAACGUUUAAGACUAAGACGUUGAUAGGCUGGGUGUGUAAGUGCAGCGAUGCAUUGAGCUAACCAGUACUAAUGAUCCGUGAGGCUUAACCUU